rnacentral:lncRNA from 1 species
GGAACACUCUAGGAAGAAUGGAGCUGUUCUAAUGGAGGAUAACUUGCUCUUCAGAUGAAAGUAUUUCUUGCUCAUCUCAUACAAAAUGAGUGUUAACAGUGCAAGCAGCCAACUUUUGUUCUCGUGUGCAUCAGGUCUGAGCUUUCCUGCCUGCCUCAUCCUGCGACAUGGGCUUUGGUGGCAGAUCCUCCGCUGCACCUCAAGAUCCAUCCAGAAGGGUUGGGAUGGGAAGCCACCCUGCACCUUCUGUGGUCAUCUUCUGCUCAUUUCUGCAAGAGCAGAUGCAGCUGUGCUUGGUCCUUCAUGCUCUUUGCUGACCUUCUAUCAGCGAGUGGAAAAACAUUCCCUCUGAGGUGCUUGGAUAGGGGAAGAAUAGACAGUAGUUGAAUUGAGAAAGUUCUUUGGCCA